rnacentral:lncRNA from 1 species
AAUAAUAAUACAAAAUAUAUAUAUAUAUAUAUAUAUAUAUAUACACAAACAAUUAACCAAAGGAAUUAUAAUUAAGAGCACGCGCGAGCUGCUUUGAUUAAGGAAAAACUUAAGCCACGUCCCUUUCAUUACCUCUACUCCCAAGUCUCAACCAAACCAAAUGACACUUUGAUCACAUACCUAAAACCAAAGCCCUCUCUCUUCCUCCCCCACAGUACCUCUCCUCUUUUUAAAGUCACGAGACCCAGUACUGUCCCCAGCUUUGUUGUUUCAAUUUUUUUAAUUUAUUGAGAGAUGAGUCCAAAGAGGUUUGGCAGAGAAACUGAUAGAGAACUUUCAAAGCUCUUUUUCUUCCACCAUCACUCAACUAGCCUCUAUAUUGCAGUCUCAAACUGAAAGUCUUAUUAUUUUCUAAAAGCUUUAGUUCUCUCUCUAUCUACCCAUCUGAGAGAGAGAGAGAGAGAGAGAGAGAGAGAGAGAGAGAGAGAGAGAGAGAGAGAGAGAGAGAGAGAGAGAGAGAGAGAGAGAGAGAAAGAGAGUGAGAGAUAGAAUACUUCGUCCUCACAUUCACAUUUUUAUUUCUGUCUUUCUCUGUCGGUACCAUGUAGGUCUUUCCCCCCCAUCCCACUUUUCUCACCUGCUAAUUGCUUCUCCCUUUUCUCUACCCCAUCUCCUUCUCCCUCUCCUGCCCUUAUACUUUAUCCAAUACUCUUUUUCUUUUUAACCCACCAUUUACUGUUUCAUAAAUGUACUACCUCUGUGGCUUUUAGCGUUGUAUAUUUAUCUCUUGUUUUGAUUUGCAGGCGACCUGAUGAGGGCAACCCUUUAGACCUCAACAACUUGCCUGAUGAUCAUUUCAGUAGAGAUGGUAAACAAGUUGUCGAGGACAGCUUCUCUGGUACUUUUCAAAUUUCUACUGCUACUACCGCCAAACCCAAACGGAUCAACAAUAUCAAAACCCCCAUAUAUCUUUUGAAAAGGGCUCACAUUUCUUCUUUUCCUUUCUUUUUUCUUUAAUUUCUUCUUUUCAAUCUUUUUCUUUUCUUUAAAAACGGAUGAAAAGCUGUUCUUUGCUUUUAAAGUUCAAUUGACAAAAUAUAUAUUUCAAAUCAAAAAGGUUAACUUAAAUGGGGUAUGAAGAAGAUUAUGGAUUUAAAUUACUCUACUUUUUCCGUCUUAAAAUGUGUUCAUGAUGAUUUGGGUAAUUAAUUAAUUUAGAUAGGGCUGAGGUAGCUGGUAGGGGUUAGUUUAGUUUAGUUUAGUCUUAUCGAAGUUGCUUUUAUUGUCUGGGUUUUUAGUUGCAGGCUACAGAAAAAAGAAAAGCGGCGCAAAAGAUGGAAAAGACGAGUGUGGGAAGGUCUACGAGUGUAGGUUUUGUUCCCUCAAGUUCUGCAAAUCUCAGGCCCUUGGGGGACACAUGAAUCGCCAUCGUCAAGGCAAGUCAAUUUCAUUUCUUUAAUUAUUUACACAAACUAAAACUAGUUGCCUUUAUUUUUUAAAACAUUAUAUUUGAGAAAUUAAUAUUAAAAAAACACACAAUUGGGGGCACUGGUCGUCUCAUCAAAGAUUUAGCCAUGAAGCGUCUUGGUCAUUUCAAAUAAGUCGAGGAAAAGGAAGUCGUGAUUUGAUUUGAUCAUUUGUGUUUCGUUUGUUGAAAUUCUUGCUAGAUCAAUUAAAGGUCAUGUACUUUUAUAUUUGAUAUUAUAUUUAUAUAUGUUGUGUGAUUUGAUUUGAUUUAAUUUGUGUGUUGGGUCGGAAUGGUCACCAGAAAGGGAGACAGAAACACUCAACAAGGCUCGUCAGCUAGUCUUCAGUAACGAUAACCUAGCCGCCCCUCCUCCUCCUCACCUAGGGUAUAUAUGCUUAAUUUCUCUUCCUUUUAUAAAUUGCACUUUCUUUUCUUCUUUAUGGUAAUAAACAAAUUGAAUUAUUACAUUAAUAAUUGUUGUUUGAUUUUGUAGAUGCUGCCAUCCAAUUACACCGGCAGGAUAUCAUCAUCCGGCUGCUGCAGGCAACAACAUUGGCGGUGACCCAACAUUACCUCUCAGAUUCCCAGCAAGAAUGUUUUCUGGCUCUUCGUCAAGUACCCUCGUACCACCACCGCCUCCGCCGGCGGUGCCACAGCCAGGUGUUCAACCGCCUCAACAACCAUAUUUAUACUCCUCUCCUUCGCGGCCCAUGUUCCCUGCUUCCCAUUACCCUCACCAUCAACACUCGGUCAAUGAUUAUUAUGUUGGACAUGUUCUUAGCAGCACUAGUAGUAGUAGCCCCUCACAGUAUGGUCAUGGUCACCCAAAUGUGAACUAUGGAGCAUCACCACCGGAGCCCGCCAACUACACUUGCAUUGGUGCACCUGUGGGACCCGGAGGAGGAGGAGGUGGAGGUGGUGGUAGAGACGGGUCACUGCACAUGAACCAGGAGGAGGGAUUGAAUUGGAGCAGGAGCUAUGCAGGGACACAGCAGCGUUUGGAUCCUCCUCCUUCGAUCAAUCGAUUUCAACCUGGCUUCUAAUGUUAAAAACAAAUUAUUAUUAUUAUUAUUAUUUUGUUUUUGUUUCUUCUGAGAGAUAGUCUUGAAGUAUUAUUAUUAGGGUCUCUGCCUCGACACGCCACCUAGGGGUGGGCACGGUUCGGUUUGGACCGGUUUUUGCCUCAAAUUAGAACCGAUCCAAUACUAUUCAUCCGGUUUGGUUCGGUUCGGUUUUAAUAAAAAAAAUUUCAAAAACUGUCCGGUUCGGUUUGAACCGGUUUCGGUCCGGUUCCGGUUCGGUUCGGUUUUGAACCGGAUUAUAAAAAUUAUUUUUUUAAAUUACUUUUUAAUACAAUUCUCAACUGAAAUAUUAUUUUUUUACUUGAAAAUUAACAAAUUAUUCAAUUUCAUAUAAAAAAUAAAUAUUAAAGUGAGAAAAUAGAGAUAUUUUGACAUUGAACUUGGAUAAAUAUUAUGUUUUUUUUAGUGAAAUUAAAAAUAUAGCAUUAAAUAUAAAUAUAUAUAUUGAAAUUAUAUAUUUUUUUAGUUUCACCGGUUCGGUUCGGCCCGGUUCGGUUUUUGAAGACAUGGAACCGGAUCCGGAACCAGUCCAAACCGGUCCGGUUCGGUUUUUGACCGGUUUUUGACUUUUUGGUCAACUCGGUUUUUUUCCGGUUUGGUUCGGUGCGGUUUGGUUUGGAUUUCCGGUUCGCCGGUUUGAGUGCCCACCCCUAACGCCACCCACAAUGGACAGAGGGAAAGAGAGAGACUUAACAAGCUGACAAAUGGGGUCAUGAGAGGAAGGAGAUGAGAGAGGUUUUUUGGUAUUUUCUACUGGGCCAGCUUUUAAGCUCAUCGACACCCUCAGCAAGUUUGGCUUCAAGUUGUGGGGUUGGGGGGGCUUUCAACAUUGGAAAUCUGAAGAGGGGUGUCUUUUGUAUGUGUGUAUCACUUCUACUACCAAGUCUGAAAAGGGAACUAGAAAGACCUUGUGGGACAACAAGUUAGAUAUGAACUGAAAGUUCUCAACCCCUUUUUGCAUUUCUAGUUCGUUUUGCAUGCCAAUCAAUUUUUCCUUUUUCUUUUUCUCGCUUUUUUCUAUUUGCUUCCAUUUGCCUUUUCCUAUAGCAUUUAAUUAUGCGGCCUCAGCGUUUUGACCAGAGGAAAAGGGAGAUUUUCGCCCUCUUUUUUUUUUUUUUUUUGGAUGAAAUAAAGUUUAGGUGGAAGGGAGGAGGACAGAGGGGGUGUCGUAGCUUCUUUUUGGUUUUUACAAAUUACCCAGUAAAAGGGUUUGUCGCCCUCCUUCUGGUUUCUGGGUCAUAUAUGGUCACACCAUGCUUGCACUGUAGGGAGCAAUGACCUGUUGAGAACUCGCAAUCCCAUCAAACUUUUUACUGCAACUUCUCUCACCCAGAAUCAAUCAAAUUUGUUGUCUGUAAGAGUUGUGCAAACUAUACCCUUCCAAACUUCAAAGCAUCUCCGGAUCCCCACCGAUAUUAUACUCAGAGCCACAAUGAUAAGAGUAAUUACUUUCCCUCCUCAUCUAAUUACUAAUUAGUAGUUGUUUUUCUAUAUUAAAACAAUGAUAAGAGUUAUAAGUACUGCAAGAACAGCUCAC